rnacentral:lncRNA from 1 species
GCUUCACUCUUGAAGAAAUAAGUUCAACGAGGAAGACGAUGAACAGUAGUUUUUAAGGGUAUAAUAGGAAAACGUAAUUAUCAGUGAGGGCAAUAUUGGAAGAAAAAAAAUUCAUUAAUCCCCUCUUCAGCAUUCCGAAAAUGCUGAAUGCCCAAAGCAGGUCCCCACCUACUUUGGGCUUUCAGCAUUCCAGAGCAUUCCAAAUGCUAGCAUUCCCCCAAGUAUGGCUCCAAAUGCUGAACCAAAUGGUUGAAAUUUUUCCCAAGGGGCUUU